rnacentral:rRNA from 1 species
AGUGAACGUUGGCGGCGUGGAUUAGGCAUGCAAGUCGAGCGAGAACCGUAGCAAUACGGGGACAGCGGCGAAAGGGACAGUAAUGUGUAGGUACCUACCCCGAGGUCUGGGAUAGCUGCGGGAAACUGCAGGUAAUACCGGAUAAUGUCUUCGGACCAAAGGUGUGAUUCCACCUUGGGAGGGGCCUGCAUCCUAUUAGCUAGUUGGCGGGGUAAUGGCCCACCAAGGCAACGAUGGGUAGCGGGUGUGAGAGCACGACCCGCGUCAUUGGGACUGGGAUACUGCCCAGACACCUACGGGUGGCUGCAGUCGAGGAUCUUCGGCAAUGGGCGAAAGCCUGACCGAGCGACGCUGCGUGCGGGAUGAAGGCCUUCGGGUUGUAAACCGCUGUCGUAGAGGAGGAAAUGCAGGGGGGUUCUCCCUUCUGUUUGACCUAUUCUAGGAGGAAGGACGGGCUAAGUUCGUACCAGCAGCCGCCGUAA